rnacentral:lncRNA from 1 species
AGUAAAGGAAGAAUAGUAUGCCAGAAUCACUAAAUUAAAAAAGGUGGUGGAUCAGCUUUUCUGCAAAAAAUUUUGUUGAAGCUCUUGGACUCACUGAGGCAGUAAAAGUACCAUCUCCUGUGUUUGAAUCAAACCCCGAGUGCCUGUAUGUAGAAGGCUUGCAGACAGGACUUCCUUUCAAAGCCCUCCUGGUUUGGAAUUCCAUGACUUGAAAGGAUCGUCCAUGGGGGUAAUAAAAUCAAGUUUGUUGUUAAAAAAGUAAGUUCC